AUACUACUGAAGAGUCCCAAAAUAGGACGAAACAGCUGUCCAGUAC
rnacentral:hammerhead_ribozyme from 1 species